rnacentral:rRNA from 1 species
AUUUAACGGCCGCGGUACCCUAACCGUGCGAAGGUAGCAUAAUCACUUGUUCUUUAAAUGAGGACUAGUAUCAAUGGCAUCACGAGGAUCAUACUGUCUCCUCACUCCAAUCAGUGAAACUGAUCUUCCCGUGAAGAAGCGGGAAUGUACAUAUAAGACGAGAAGACCCCAUGGAGCUUUAAACCCGACAGCACCUGUUACCCACAUAUCUUUAUAUUUAUAUAGCAAAUGCUUGUUCGGUUUUAGGUUGGGGUGACCAUGGAGUAAAAAAUAACCUCCACGAAAAAAGGCAUAAAACCCUUAUCAAAGAGCCACAUCUCUAUGAAUUAGCAAACUAAUUUCUAAUGAUCCGAUAUUCGAUCAACGAACCAAGUUACCCUGGGGAUAACAGCGCAAUCCGCCUUAAGAGCUCCUAUCGACAGGCGGGUUUACGACCUCGAUGUUGGAUCAGGGUCUCCCAGUGGUGCAACAGCUACUAAAGGUUCGUUUGUUCAACGAUUAAAACCCUA